rnacentral:rRNA from 1 species
AGUGAACGCUGGCGGUAGGCCUAACACAUGCCAGUCGAACGGCAGCACAGUAAGAGCUUGCUCUUACGGGUGGCGAGUGGCGGACGGGUGAGGAAUACAUCGGAAUCUACUUUUUCGUGGGGGAUAACGUAGGGAAACUUACGCUAAUACCGCAUACGACCUACGGGUGAAAGCAGGGGAUCUUCGGACCUUGCGCGAUUGAAUGAGCCGAUGUCGGAUUAGCUAGUUGGCGGGGUAAAGGCCCACCAAGGCGACGAUCCGUAGCUGGUCUGAGAGGAUGAUCAGCCACACUGGAGCUGAGACACGGUCCAGACUCCUACGGGAGGCAGCAGUGGGGAAUAUUGGACAAUGGGCGCAAGCCUUAUCCAGCCAUACCGCGUGGGUGAAGAAGGCCUUCGGGUUGUAAAGCCCUUUUGUUGGGAAAGAAAAGCAGCAGGUUAAUACCCCGCUGUUCUGACGGUACCCAAAGAAUAAGCACCGGCUAACUUCGUG